GACGAACGCUGGCGGCGUGCCUAAUACAUGCAAGUCGAACGAACUCUGGUAUUGAUUGGUGCUUGCAUCAUGAUUUACAUUUGAGUGAGUGGCGAACUGGUGAGUAACACGUGGGAAACCUGCCCAGAAGCGGGGGAUAACACCUGGAAACAGAUGCUAAUACCGCAUAACAACUUGGACCGCAUGGUCCGAGUUUGAAAGAUGGCUUCGGCUAUCACUUUUGGAUGGUCCCGCGGCGUAUUAGCUAGAUGGUGAGGUAACGGCUCACCAUGGCAAUGAUACGUAGCCGACCUGAGAGGGUAAUCGGCCACAUUGGGACUGAGACACGGCCCAAACUCCUACGGGAGGCAGCAGUAGGGAAUCUUCCACAAUGGACGAAAGUCUGAUGGAGCAACGCCGCGUGAGUGAAGAAGGGUUUCGGCUCGUAAAACUCUGUUGUUAAAGAAGAACAUAUCUGAGAGUAACUGUUCAGGUAUUGACGGUAUUUAACCAGAAAGCCACGGCUAACUACGUGCCAGCAGCCGCGGUAAUACGUAGGUGGCAAGCGUUGUCCGGAUUUAUUGGGCGUAAAGCGAGCGCAGGCGGUUUUUUAAGUCUGAUGUGAAAGCCUUCGGCUCAACCGAAGAAGUGCAUCGGAAACUGGGAAACUUGAGUGCAGAAGAGGACAGUGGAACUCCAUGUGUAGCGGUGAAAUGCGUAGAUAUAUGGAAGAACACCAGUGGCGAAGGCGGCUGUCUGGUCUGUAACUGACGCUGAGGCUCGAAAGUAUGGGUAGCAAACAGGAUUAGAUACCCUGGUAGUCCAUACCGUAAACGAUGAAUGCUAAGUGUUGGAGGGUUUCCGCCCUUCAGUGCUGCAGCUAACGCAUUAAGCAUUCCGCCUGGGGAGUACGGCCGCAAGGCUGAAACUCAAAGGAAUUGACGGGGGCCCGCACAAGCGGUGGAGCAUGUGGUUUAAUUCGAAGCUACGCGAAGAACCUUACCAGGUCUUGACAUACUAUGCAAAUCUAAGAGAUUAGACGUUCCCUUCGGGGACAUGGAUACAGGUGGUGCAUGGUUGUCGUCAGCUCGUGUCGUGAGAUGUUGGGUUAAGUCCCGCAACGAGCGCAACCCUUAUUAUCAGUUGCCAGCAUUAAGUUGGGCACUCUGGUGAGACUGCCGGUGACAAACCGGAGGAAGGUGGGGAUGACGUCAAAUCAUCAUGCCCCUUAUGACCUGGGCUACACACGUGCUACAAUGGAUGGUACAACGAGUUGCGAACUCGCGAGAGUAAGCUAAUCUCUUAAAGCCAUUCUCAGUUCGGAUUGUAGGCUGCAACUCGCCUACAUGAAGUCGGAAUCGCUAGUAAUCGCGGAUCAGCAUGCCGCGGUGAAUACGUUCCCGGGCCUUGUACACACCGCCCGUCACACCAUGAGAGUUUGUAACACCCAAAGUCGGUGGGGGUAACCUUUUAGGAACCAGCCGCCUAAGGUGGGACAGAUGAUUAGGGUGAAG
rnacentral:rRNA from 1 species